GAGGCUAUGGCUCAGUGGUAGAGCGCUUGCCUAGCAUGUAUGAGGCACUGGGUUCGAUCCUCAGCACCACA
rnacentral:tRNA from 1 species